rnacentral:ncRNA from 1 species
CCUAGACCCCUAAUUUUAAUAUUUAUAUAUAUUUUAAUAUAAAUUAUUUUAUAAGUUUUAUUCUUGCUUGUUUAUUAAGUUUUUAUAUUAUUUAUAUGUAUAAGUUUAAAUUAUUUUAUUUCAGUAAUUAGUAUUAUUAUUUAUUUUUAUUUUUAUUAAGAAAUGUAAUUAUAUUGGAUUAAAAUUGUGCCAGCAUUCGCGGUUAUACAAUUUAUUAAUUUUAAUAUUUUAGGUUUUAAUUAAUUAUUUUUUGAUUUAAAAUCUUUUUGUUAGGGUGGAAUCUUCUUAAUAAAUUAUUUUCUUAAUAUUUUUUAUUAAAUUAUUUUUGUAAACUAGGAUUAGAUACCCUAUUAUUAAACAUUUAAAUUUUAGCUUGAAUACUAUCAGUUAUGUUCUGUUAAACUCAAAGAAUUUGGCGGUGAUUUACUUUUUUAGAGGAAUUUGGUUUUUAAUUGAUAAACCACGAUAGAUUUAACUUUUAUCUUAUUUGUAUAUCUCUAUAAUUAGGAAUGCUUUUAUAAAAUAUUUUCUUUAUUUAUUAUUAARUUUAUAUUAGGUCAAGGUGCAGUUUUAUAAAAGGGAAUUUGAAUUACUUUAAUUUUAAAUAUUAUYUUAAUUAUAAUUAAUUUUUAUUAGAAUUUAAUAGUAAAUUUAAAUAAUUAUUUAAAUUGAACUUUACACUAUAUUAUGCACAUAUUGCCCGUCAUUCUCAUUUUAAUUGGGACAAGUCGUAACAAAGUAAUUUUACUGGAAAGUGAAGUUAGAAAGAUC